rnacentral:lncRNA from 1 species
GUUACCUCGUCUGUUGUGCGAAAACUCUUUGGUAUGGAGGAGUCUGAUAUAUUCUGGUCAUAGCUUCCUUUGAUGCGCCUACGACGUUUCUGUGGGCAAGUUUUUAGUGCGGAGUGCGGUUCCAAUGUUGCCUACUUACGAAUUUGCCACUGGUCCUGUUGUGAGUGCUUUCAGCUUGGCGUCGGGCAAUUGGAUAACUCUCUACCGGAUUGCCUGCUUGCUGCUCUUCUGCGAGUUACUCAUUGGUAAGCAUUAACAUUUGUCAAUAUAACGUUAUUUAUCCAUAUAUAUUGUGCACCUGCACAUGGCCGGAUUUUCAUAUUUGCCACCCUCAGACCGUCUAGAUUUUGCAGUCCCCACGAUUUUGCUGCCAGAUCAUCAUGCAUACAUGAUGUUUGUAUAUUACGUAACUUAAAAGGAAUUUUAAUGAAACGUACACUGGUAAAAGAACACAUUGGAUCUAGAGUCCAGACUCUUGAAAACAUUGACAAGAAAAUG